GGGGGCCCCGGAUCCGGCGGGCGUGGAUGGCGGCGGCGGCGGGCGUGGAUGGCGGCGGCGGCGGCGGUGGAUGUACUUGAGGAACUCCAGUACGUGCGCGCCGCUGCACCGCGACAGCGACAGCGGCGGCCGGUGGUUGCGCAGGUACUGCCCGCCGCUUCUGGGAGUCGUACCGGCUCAGCGACGGCGACGAGCUCGACGGCGACGGCCCGCCUCCUCCCCCCACCGAGGAUCCGAGCGCCGCCGCGCCGGACGACGACGACCCGGCCCCUGACGCCCCGGCGCCUCCGGAG
rnacentral:lncRNA from 1 species